rnacentral:rRNA from 1 species
UACGUAGGGUGCGAGCGUUGUCCGGAAUUAUUGGGCGUAAAGAGCUCGUAGGCGGUGUGUCGCGUCGGCCGUGAAAACCUGCAGCUUAACUGUGGGCUUGCGGUCGAUACGGGCAUCACUGGAGUUCGGCAGGGGAGACUGGAAUUCAUGGUGUAGCAGUGAAAUGCGUAGAGAUCAUGAGGAAGACCAGUGGCGAAGGCGGGUCUCUGGACAGUUCCUGACACUGAGGCACGAAGGCCAGGGGAGCAAACGGG